CCUACGGGUGGCAGCAGUGGGGAAUAUUGGGCAAUGGAGGCAACUCUGACCCAGCAAUGCCGCGUGAGUGAUGAAGGUAAUUUUAUUGUAAAGCUCUUUUCUUUGGAACGAAUAAAUGACGGUACCAAAGGAAUAAGCCCUGGCCAACUACGUGCCAGCAGCCGCGGUAAUACGUAGGGGGCAAGUCUUUUUCGGGAUGACUGGGCGUAAAGGGUGUGGAGGGGGUUGGAUAAGUUAGAUGUGGAAUAGCCAGGGCUUAACCAGGGUACUGCAUCUAAAACUGUUCGACUGGAGUACUGGAGAGGAUAGUGGAAUUCCUAGUGUAGCGGUGGAAUGCGUAGAUAUUAGGAGGAACAUCAGUGGCGAAGGCGACUAACUGGACAGCAACUGACACUGAGGCACGAAAGCGUGGGGAGCAAACAGGAUUAGAUACCCCAGUAGUC
rnacentral:rRNA from 1 species